rnacentral:rRNA from 1 species
CUAUGUGUGGACGGGAUAAGUGCUGAAAGCAUCUAAGCAUGAAGCCCCCCUCAAGAUGAGAUUUCCCAACUUCGGUUAUAAGAUCCCUCAAAGAUGAUGAGGUUAAUAGGUUCGAGGUGGAAGCAUGGUGACAUGUGGAGCUGACGAAUACUAAUCGAUCGAAGACUUAAUCAA